AACAAGAUGAGAAGACCCUAUGGAGCUUCAAUUUAUUAAUGCAAAUAGAAACUCAAAAAGCCUGCAGGCACUAACCCAUUAUUCCCUGCAUUAAAAUUUUUAGUUAGGGUGACCUCAGAGCACAAUUCAACCUGUGAACAACCUAAACUAAGACCACAUUAGUUUAAGCAAAUUAACAUUAAUUGACCUAAUAAUUUGAUCAACUGUAUGAGUUACCCCAGGGAUAAUAGUGCAAUCCUAUUUUAGAGUCCGUAUUGACAAUAGGGUUUACGAUCUCGAUGUUGGAUGAGGACAUCCUAAUGGUGUAGCCACUAUGAAGCGUGUGUUUGUUCAAUGAUUAAAGUCCUACGUGAUCCGAGUUCAGACCAGAGUAAUCCACAUCAGUUUUUACCUAUU
rnacentral:ncRNA from 1 species